AUUGAACGCUGGCGGCAGGCCUAACACAUGCAAGUCGAACGCGUGGCGGACGGGUGAGUAAUGUCUGGGAAACUGCCUGAUGGAGGGGGAUAACUACUGGACACGGUAGCUAAUACCGCAUACCUUCCGAUGUGCCCAGUUGGGAUGAGCUCGUUGGUGGGGGAACGGCGCACCAAGGCGACGAUCCCUACCUGGUCUGAGAGGAUGACCAGCCACACUGGAAAUGAGACACGGUCCAGACGCCUACGGGAGGCAGGAGUGGGGAAUAUGGCACAAUGGGCGAAAGCCUGAUGCAGCCAUGCCGCGGGUAUGAAGAAGGCCUGCGGGUUGUAAAGUACGUUCAGCGGGGAGGCGUUACCCGCAGAAGAAGCACCGGCUAACGCCGUGCCAGCAGCCGCGGUAAUAC
rnacentral:rRNA from 1 species